GGACGUUAAAAAAUGGCCCAAGUAACAAGUCUACUGACUGUCUCGGGUCAAACGGUCUUGCCCAACACGAAUGCUCUGAUCCUGUGAACACUCGUAACGCAACAGAUGCCGAGAUAUACUAUGGGAUUCCACCUCAACAGCUGACGACGGAUAACUACACCUACAGUGUAGUUAACAAAUGUAGAAAAGCAGGUGGAUUGGCAAAAGAGCAUCCGAUGUAA